UUUUAUCGGUGUGAGAUGGACCCGCGUCUGAUUAGCCAGUUGGCAGGGUAACGGCCUACCAAAGCGACGAUCAGUAGCCGGCCUGAGAGGGUGAACGGCCACAUUGGGACUGAGACACGGCCCAGACUCCUGCGGGAGGCAGCAGUGGGGAAUAUUGCACAAUGGGGGAAACCCUGAUGCAGCGACGCCGCAUGAGUGAAGAAGUAUUUCGGUAUGUAAAGCUCUAUCAGCAGGGAAGAAAAUGACAAAACAUGAUUAAGAAGCCCCGGCUAACUACGUGCCAGCAGCCGCGGUAAUACGUAGGGGGCAAGCGUUAUCCGGAUUUACUGGGUGUAAAGGGAGCGUAGACGGUGAUGCAAGUCAGAAGUGAAAGCCCGGGGCUCAACUCCGGGACUGCUUUUGAAACUGUGUGACUGGAGUGCAGGAGAGGUAAGCGGAAUUCCUGGUGUAGCGGUGAAAUGCGUAGAUAUCUGGGGGAACACCAGUGGCGAAGGCGGCUUACUGGACUGUAACUGACGUUGAGGCUCGAAAGCGUGGG
rnacentral:rRNA from 1 species